rnacentral:tRNA from 1 species
UCCCAGGUGGCUCAGUGAUAAAGAAUCUGCUUGAAAUGAAGGAGAUGCAGGUUUGAGCCCUGGCUUGGGAA